rnacentral:rRNA from 1 species
GACGAACGCUGGCGGCGUGCCUAACACAUGCAAGUCGAACGGAAUUAAGUUUAACACCGAACACUUAGUUUGGUGUAAGAGAACACUGAGUAGUCGGUGUUGAACUUAGUUUAGUGGCGGACGGGUGAGUAACGCGUGAGUAACCUGCCUUUCAGUGGGGAAUAACGUCUGGAAACGGACGCUAAUACCGCAUAACAUAUUUGUGUCACAUGGCACGAAUAUCAAAGGAGCAAUUCGCUGAAAGAUGGACUCGCGUCCGAUUAGCUAGUUGGUGAGAUAAAAGCCCACCAAGGCGACGAUCGGUAGCCGGACUGAGAGGUUGAACGGCCACAUUGGGACUGAGACACGGCCCAGACUCCUACGGGAGGCAGCAGUGGGGGAUAUUGCACAAUGGAGGAAACUCUGAUGCAGCAACGCCGCGUGAGGGAAGACGGUUUUCGGAUUGUAAACCUCUGUCUUUGGUGAAGAUAAUGACGGUAGCCAAAGAGGAAGCUCCGGCUAACUACG